CAGGAGACACAGCUUCUCUGGGCCCUCUGCAGACUGUCUGGGGUUAGAUGGCUGUUGGCCAGCUUGCCGGGGGGCUGCAUCUUUCUAGGCUCUUCUGCAGGGCCAAGCCUGGAGCCUGCAGCUGGGAAUUUAACCAGGGCCCUCUGCUGGAAGUCUCAAGACUCUACGUGGGGCAGAGGUUUUCUAGGCACUUCUCUUUUCUCCUGGGGCUUUUCCUUCUACAUGAUGAUUGUGUUCAUUUUUUGGGGAAACUGUUGCCACGCCAUGAUGACACUCAAGCAGCUUUAGGAGUUUCUCAUGGAGAGGAACUGAGAUCUCUUGCCAACAACCAUCAUCAGCUCACCAGCUAAGUCACCUUGAGAGUGGGUCCUCCAGCCCCAGCCAAGCCUUCAGAUGAGCUCUGCUGACAUCCUGACUGCUGUCUUAUUAGAGAUCUUAAGUCAGGGUGACCCAGUUGUGCUGCUCCUG